rnacentral:rRNA from 1 species
GACAGAGGGUGCAAGCGUUGUUCGGAAUUAUUGGGCGUAAAGGGCGCGUAGGUGGCCUGGUAAGUCGGAUGUGAAAGCCCAGGGCUUAACCCUGGAAGUGCAUCUGAUACUGCUUGGUUUGAGUCUCGGAGAGGGUCGUGGAAUUCCCAGUGUAGAGGUGAAAUUCGUAGAUAUUGGGAGGAACACCAGUGGCGAAGGCGGCGACCUGGACGAAGACUGACACUGAGGCGCGAAAGCGUGGGGAGCAAACAGG